CUUAGAAAUACUCGAUUAUGUAAAUCAAGUUUUUUACCUUGUGCCCUGAUUAAGCUUUUUGACCGAAGAGAAUGAAGAUUUAUUGGAUGAUUAUGGUUGUCUUUCACCCCAAAUUCGCGAAAUCGCAGUACAAGUAGCUCUGUUUCGUACACUCUUGGUUUCUGAUUUUCCGUUGGUAUAAAUCUCCGUCUUUCCAGUCGUUUCAAUAUGGCGUCAAAUUGCUGCAAAUUGUCCGGAAUUUUUGUAUUAUGAAACACAUUAUCAAAUGCAAUCUCAAUUGCUCUUGCUUUUUCUAACGGCAUUAAAUCCAUUUGCUUAACAUUUUAAUAAAAUAUCACAGACGGAGAAACUUUCGAAAAUUAGGUA